GCGCGCCGCUUUCUUUUUCCGAACUCGCGUUUGUCGUCAGUAAAGUGGCAACCUGGUAGGGACAUUGCGGAGAUGUCAUCAUGGUGUUUGAUGUGUCGACAAGUGCAGUUUUAUGGCAAUGGCAAGUGUUCCCUGGCGCAGUUGUGUUAGCCGCGCCGAACGUCAAACGCUCACAAAUGGACGGCAUGUGAAGGACUUCCCCCCGUGUGCAUCUACUGGCAAGUCCAAGCUUCGUAGGUUCCUUGUCUUCGGUAUCCCAUGAGCGGUACCAUUCACUCGUGUCCGUCCAAGGCGGGCUAAAUUCCUGCCGACAGUGCACCUAUGUGACCAAGUACAGUGCAAACAUGAAAACGCACAUUCGCAGACACACGGUUUGACAGUUUCACUGCUGAGUUUCAGGGAAACCUGCUGUCAAGACCACAAUGAAAGCAAUGUCCAGAGUUUCUAGAGCCUGCAUGACACAUCCUGAUGGAAGCAUAACACGAAAGACAUUUCUACCACAGUCUACCUUCAAGCAGUAGCUCCCAACUACAGCCAUAUUCGCAGUCACUGUCUCCUUUCUCGCCAUUAGCAGCAUUGUAUCACUUAUGUUGUGUAUUGUAAUAGAGUGCAUAUCAAGAGAGUGUUUAAGGGCAGCAUGCAAUAUUUUCUCAUUGAAACGCUGUACAAAAUUUCUUUUGUGAAAAAAUUGUAAGGAAACAUCAUUAAGUCUAUUCAUCUCUUUCAAGAUUCAGGUAUCCUGUAUUACAUUUGUAUUUAUUUGUUAAUUUUUUUAUGUUCAUGUUUGAGUACAUUCCAGUACAUAUUGUUACGGUGCAUCAUCGAUAAAAGCAAGCGUGGCACUUUGUGAAGACGACAAA